rnacentral:rRNA from 1 species
GAACGGGUGAGUAAUAUACUAAACCAUACCUAAAAGAAAAGGAAAAAAUAAUGAAAAUUAUUAUAAUACUUUAUAAAUUUGUUUAAUAUAAAUCAAAAAAAUAGAAUAAAAAUUUGCUUUUAGAUUGGGUAGUACCAGAUUAGUUUGUUGGUAAUAAAAAGAUUACCAAGACCAUUAUCUGUAGCUGUUCUGGAAGGAAAUACAGCCACAUUGGGACUGAGAUAAGGCCCAAACUUCUACGGAAGGCAGCAGUGAGGAAUAUUGGACAAUGAACGAAAGUUUGAUCCAGCGAUACCCCGUGUGUGAAGAAGGUUAUAAAAUUGUAAAACACUUUUAUUCAAAAAUAAAAAAUGAAAAUUUGAAUGAAUAAGCACUGGCUAAAUACGUGCCAGCAGCAGCGGUAAUACGUAUAGUGCAAGCGUUAAUCGGUUUUAUUGGGCGUAAAGAGUAUGUAGGCGGAUUAUUAUGAAAUAAAUAAAAUCAUAAAGCUCAACUUUAUAACUUUUAUUUUACUAAUAAUCUAGAGUUUAAAAGAGGAGAGUAGAAUUUUACAAGUAGUAGUGAAAUACGUAGAUAUGUAAAAGAAUACCAAAUGCGAAGGCAACUCUCUAGGUUAACACUGACGCUGAGAUACUAAAGCGUGGGGAGCAAACAGGAUUAGAUACCCUGGUAGUCCACGCCCUAAACUAUGUCAACUAGUUAUUAGUUUUAGUAACGAAGCUAACGCGUUAAGUUGACCGCCUGGGAAUUACGAUCGCAAGAUUAAAACUCAAAGGAAUUGACGGGGACCCGUACAAGUGGUGGAUGAUGUGGAUUAAUUCGAUGCAACACGAAAAACCUUACCUACUCUUGACAUGUAUGUAAUUUUAUUUGAAAGAAUAAAAAACACAUAACACAGGUGCUGCAUGGCUGUCGUCAGUUCGUGUCGUGAGAUGUUGGGUUAAGUCCUAUAACGAACGCAACCCUUAUUUCAUGUUGCUAAAGAACUCUUGAAAGACCGCUGUUAAUCAGAGGAAGAAAAGGAUGACGUCAAGUCCUCAUGGCCUUUAUGAGUAGGGCUUCACACGUCAUACAAUGGUAAAUACAAAGAGAAGCAAAUUUGUAAAAAAGAGCAAAACUGUAAAAUUUAUCUCAGUUCGGAUUGUACCCUGAAACUCGGAUACAUGAAGUAGGAAUCACUAGUAAUCGCAGAUCAGAAUGCUGCGGUGAAUACGUUCUCGGGUCUUGUACACACCGCCC